UACAGAGGGGGCAAGCGUUGUUCGGAAUUACUGGGCGUAAAGGGCGCGUAGGCGGCCCGCUAAGUCGAACGUGAAAUCCCUGGGCUCAACCCAGGAACUGCGUCCGAUACUGGCAGGCUUGAAUCCGGGAGAGGGAUGUGGAAUUCCAGGUGUAGCGGUGAAAUGCGUAGAUAUCUGGAGGAACACCGGUGGCGAAGGCGGCAUCCUGGACCGGUAUUGACGCUGAUGCGCGAAAGCCAGAGGAGCAAACGGG
rnacentral:rRNA from 1 species